AUGGACCAUGAGAUAGCAUACAAUAGGUCCUAUGCGUGGGACUCGGAGGAUGAAGGCCCGGAUGAAGAAAUAGAUGAGGAUGGUUUGACGGCUAAAGAAGCCAAUGCUUUCAAGAAGGUAAUAGGUCGUAGUCACAAGACAUCAUUGUUUCGUGAUCUAAGCCUAGCCGAUAAGGCGAUUGUUGAUGGUGGCACAAGUAAAAUUCUUGCACCAAGG
rnacentral:rRNA from 1 species